UACGUAGGUGGCGAGCGUUGUCCGGAAUUACUGGGCGUAAAGGAUGCGUAGGUGGGUAAGUAAGUCAGAUGUGAAAUCCCCGGGCUCAACCCGGGAGGUGCAUUUGAAACUGCUAGCCUAGAGUGCAGGAGAGGUAAGUGGAAUUCCUAGUGUAGCGGUGAAAUGCGUAGAUAUUAGGAAGAACACCAGUGGCGAAGGCGACUUACUGGACUGUAACUGACACUGAGGCAUGAAAGCGUGGGGAGCAAACAGG
rnacentral:rRNA from 1 species